rnacentral:rRNA from 1 species
GACGAACGCUGGCGGCGUGCUUAACACAUGCAAGUCGAACGGAAAGGCCCUGCUUUUGUGGGGUGCUCGAGUGGCGAACGGGUGAGUAACACGUGAGUAACCUGCCCUUGACUUUGGGAUAACUUCAGGAAACUGGGGCUAAUACCGGAUAGGAGCUCCUGCUGCAUGGUGGGGGUUGGAAAGUUUCGGCGGUUGGGGAUGGACUCGCGGCUUAUCAGCUUGUUGGUGGGGUAGUGGCUUACCAAGGCUUUGACGGGUAGCCGGCCUGAGAGGGUGACCGGCCACAUUGGGACUGAGAUACGGCCCAGACUCAUACGGGAGGCAGCAGUGGGGGAGAUUGCACAAUGGGCGGAAGCCUGAUGCAGCAACGCCGCGUGCGGGAUGACGGCCUUCGGGUUGUAAACCGCUUUCGCCUGUGACGAAGCGUGAGUGACGGUAAUGGGUAAAGAAGCACCGGCUAACUACGUG